rnacentral:rRNA from 1 species
AUGGGCGAGUCCAGAUCUGCCGUCGUCGACUUGGAGAAAGCAACCUUCGAUUUGGAGCAAGGCGCCGCAGUCGAGCGCGACUAUAAGGAAGAAGCAGCGCGGCGCACGGGGAUGUUUCUUGGCGGCUUCUUGCUCCUGCUCGACGUUAUUAUUCUUGUGUCCUCCGGCCUGUGGGCAGGCUUCGCGGCGGCUAUCCUGUUCGCGGCAGUAAUCUUAUUUGUAGUUUCGAUUGUGCGCCGAGCUGGCCCUUGGCCUGAUGAAGAUGACGACGAUGUCCGCCGGGAAGUAGUGGACAUCAAAGCAGCUCCAGCUCCACCAGCAGAAAUAGAGUCACGCUCUUUUGAUCUUUUGCGUGAUGCUCCUCAUACUUUUAUCCUUCCAACGUUGCUCCCUCUUAUACUAUAUUCAUGA